UCCUGGUUAGCUUAGUCGGUAGAGCGCUCCCUAAACUUAGAGAGGUCCCUGGUUCGAUACCAGGACCAGGCG
rnacentral:tRNA from 1 species